rnacentral:lncRNA from 1 species
GGACAGUUAGCUGUAGAGGAAUGAAGCUGGGUUAAUUAAUAUUGAUAACAUACAGCUGUGGGCUGGCUUCAGGGGUGGUGGGUUGGCUGAUGUAGAUAAGGUGCAGCUGUGGCUGGUUCUGCUAAGAGGUUGGGCAGUCAUGAAGAGAGAGCAGCCGAGGAAGAAUCAGAGAGAGAAUGCACGCCUGGGAUGAGGAGAAGGCAGCAGAGGGACGGUGUGAAGAGUGUGUUGGUCCAUGCAGAGCAGCUUUUGCUUCUGGCAGGAGCAGCCAAACACCCCCUCAGCAAAUGCUAGAGCCAGUAGGCAGCCAACCUCUCCACUUCCUUCUGAAGGUUCAGCUGUUCCGCAGCUUGAGGUCCAUAAGUGAGGUCCUGACGCCCACUGAGGAGCUGCCACUGGAUGGGAGUAACAUGAAUCACCAAACACCACAGCUAUGUGGUGUGGCCAUGCAGGGAGAAGGAGAAGCAUUGAACCUGGUACUUGUCACCAUCCCAAGCUUGGACCAGCCAUCCCAAAGAGGGAUGUCACUAUGGGUGUCUCUACCAUAG